GACGAACGCUGGCGGCGUGCUUAACACAUGCAAGUCGAACGGAGUGGCGAACGGGUGAGUAACACGUGGGUGAUCUGCCUUGCACUUCGGGAUAAGCUUGGGAAACAGGGUCUAAUACCGGAUAGUGCAAGAUGAGCUCGCGGCCUAUCAGCUUGUUGGUGGGGUAAUGGCCUACCAAGGCGUCGACGUGUAGCCGGCCUGAGAGGGUGUACGGCCACAGUGGGACUGAGAUACGGCCCAGACUCCGACGGGAGGCAGCAGUGAGGAAUAUUGCACAAUGGGCGGAAGACGGAUGCAGCGACGCCACGUGGUGGAUGAAUGCCUUCGGGUUGGAAACUCCUUUCGACAGGGACGCGGUACCUGUAUAAGAAGCACCGGCUAACUACGUGCCAGCAGCCGCGGUAAUUC
rnacentral:rRNA from 1 species